rnacentral:misc_RNA from 1 species
GAUGAAGAACGUAGCGAAAUGCGAUACUUGGUGUGAAUUGCAGAAUCCCGUGAACCAUCGAGUCUUUGAACGCAAGUUGCGCCCGAAGCCACUAGGCCGAGGGCACACCUGCCUGGGCGUCACACGCCGUUGCCCCCCCAUCUACUCCUUCGGGAUUGCGGGGGGGCGGAUGAUGGCCUCCUGUGCGCCUAGCCGCGCGGUUGGCAUAAAUACCAAGUCCUCGGCGACGCACGCCACGACAAUCGGUGGUUGCGAAACCUCGGUUGCCCGUCGUGUGCGUUCGUCGCGCAUCGAGGGCUCGAAAAAAUGCUCGGCUCCGGCUGGGCUUUCAACGCGACCCCAGGUCAGGCGGGGUUACCCGCUGAAUUUAAGCAUAUCAAUAAGCGGAGGA